UUUACACCAGGCGCCAUACAAGAGUGAGUUGGACCCUAGCUCUCUUUCAAGAACGGAGACAGGCUAACGGGUGAGGGACACUUAGUCACUCUGCCCUUCACUCUGGGACAAGCCCUGGAAACGGGGUCUAAUACCGGAUACCACUCCUGCCCGCAUGGGUAGGGGUUGAAAGCUCCGGCGGUGAAGGAUGAGCCCGCGGCCUAUCAGCUUGUUGGUGGGGUAAUGGCCCACCAAGGCGACGACGGGUAGCCGGCCUGAGAGGGCGACCGGCCACACUGGGACUGAGACACGGCCCAGACUCCUACGGGAGGCAAGCAGUGGGGAAUAUUGCACAAUGGGCGAAAGCCUGAUGCAGCGACGCCGCGUGAGGGAUGACGGCCUUCGGGUUGUAAACCUCUUUCAGCAGGGAAGAAGCGAAAGUGACGGUACCUGCAGAAGAAGCGCCGGCUAACUACCGUGCCAGCAGCCGCGGUUAAUACCGUAGGGGCGCAAAGCGUUGUCCCGGAAAUUAUUUGGGCGUAAAAGAAGCUUCGUUAGGCCGGGCUUUUGUGCACGAUCUGG
rnacentral:rRNA from 1 species